rnacentral:misc_RNA from 1 species
ACAAGAAACCAAAGUUCUAGAGAUCUACAUAACACAACUAUAAACAGCCAAACACGUCCUCGACUUUCAAAGGAAAACAAGGUGACAACCCUCAAACCAUAUAAACAUAACAAAGGUUUUCAAACCAGUUUCCCUCUGCCAUUGGCUCAUAAAUAGUACAGCUUGUCAAGCAAAUAUCUUUGCCCGAUUGCCUCUGUGUUUGCUUGAAGCCUACCCAAGUUAAAAAGAUGGUACUCCAGUUCCUCCUUU